AUUGAACGCUGGCGGCAUGCUUUACACAUGCAAGUCGAACGGUAACAGGGAGCUUGCUCCGCUGACGAGUGGCGAACGGGUGAGUAAUGCGUCGGAACGUGCCGAGUAGUGGGGGAUAACGCAUCGAAAGGUGUGCUAAUACCGCAUACGUACUGAGGUAGAAAGUGGGGGACCUUCGGGCCUCACGCUAUUCGAGCGGCCGACGUCUGAUUAGCUAGUUGGUGAGGUAAAGGCUCACCAAGGCGACGAUCAGUAGCGGGUCUGAGAGGAUGAUCCGCCACACUGGGACUGAGACACGGCCCAGACUCCUACGGGAGGCAGCAGUGGGGAAUUUUGGACAAUGGGCGCAAGCCUGAUCCAGCCAUGCCGCGUGUCUGAAGAAGGCCUUCGGGUUGUAAAGGACUUUUGUCCGGGAGCAAAUGCUGGUGGCUAACAUCCACCGGAGCUGAGAGUACCUGAAGAAUAAGCAUCGGCUAACUCCGUGCCAGCCGCCGCCGUAAGAC
rnacentral:rRNA from 1 species